rnacentral:tRNA from 1 species
GUUCUAAUAGUGUAGUGGCUAUCACGUUGCCUUCACACGGCAAAGGUCCNAGUUCGAACCUCAGUUAGAACA